rnacentral:lncRNA from 1 species
CUGGCCUGGGUUCUCAGAGGUACUUCACAGCUGGCUCAGAUCUGACUGGGCUUGUGCGCCUUGCCGAAGGCAGAAGAUAUACUGGUAGAAGCAAAGUGUGGAGAGAGGUUAGCUAACCACAAAAGAAUGGGCCUGACUCGAUAACCAGGAUAUUGGCUGGAGGAGAGAGUGAAACUAUGUCUUCUGGACAAGAUAUAGCUGCACGAGAUCAAGCCAAUUCAAACUCCAGCAUAGAUGGGAGAAGAGUAUCCUAAGGCCUACCCCAGCUGGUGGAAGUAUGCAGACGAUGGCUGCUGAGGAACAAAGAGUCACUUUUUGUUAGCGAUGUGGCUGCUGGCAGGUUGCCCAUUAACCUGCCCCCCAGUGAAUGUUCCCACACCCACACGCAUUGGUUAGUCUUGGCAUUAUUAAUAAUCACUAUAAAAGUAAAAACAAUAGCCCCCUUUUCUGGCCUCUGCAGGCUGUGCGUUCCAUGUCCAAAUACCCCCUCCUGUAUAUAUAAAUUAAAUGUAUUAAAGAUAAAAUCUUGGGCCGCAGAGAUG